rnacentral:rRNA from 1 species
UGAGGAACAUGACCUUCGGCGGGGGAUAGCCGGCCCAACGGCCGGGUAAUACCGCGUACGACCACAUGGGGACAUCCCUGAGUGGUGAAAGCAGCAAUGCGCCGAUGGAGUGCCUCGCGGCCUAUCAGCUAGUUGGUGAGGUAACGGCUCACCAAGGCGACGACGGGUAGCUGGUCUGAGAGGAUGGCCAGCCANAGUUGGGACUGAGACACGGCCCAGACCUCGUAACCGGGGAGG